UGCNGUCGUACGAGAGUUUUUAACUCAAGUGGCGGACGGGUGAGUAACACGUAAGAAUUUACCUUUAGGAGGGGGACAACAGCUAGAAAUGGCUGCUAAUACCCCAUAUGCUUUCGAGUGAAAUGGAAUUUUCCGCCUGAAGAGAAGCUUGCGGCUGAUUAGCUUGUUGGUAAGGUAAUGGCUUACCAAGGCGACGAUCAGUAUCUGGUUUGAGAGGACGAUCAGACACACUGGAACUGAGACACGGUCCAGACUCUUACGGGAGGCAGCAGUGGGGAAUUUUCCGCAAUGGGCGAAAGCCUGACGGAGCAAUACCGCGUGAGGGAUGACGGCCUAUGGGUUGUAAACCUCUUUUUUCAGGGAGGAAUAAAUGACGUGUACCUGAAGAAUAAGCAUCGGCUAACUCCGUGCCAGCAGCCGCGGUAAGACGGAGGAUGCAAGUGCUAUCCGGAAUCACUGGGCGUAAAGCGUCUGUAGGUGGUUUAAUAAGUCAACUGUUAAAUCUUGAGGCUCAACUUCAAAAUCGCAGUCGAAACUAUUAGACUAGAGUAUAGUAGGGGUAAAGGGAAUUUCCAGUGGAGCGGUGAAAUGCGUAGAGAUUGGAAAGAACACCAAUGGCGAANGCACUUUACUGNGCUAUUACUAACACUCAGAGACGAAAGCUAGGGUAGCAAAUGGGAUUAGAUACCCCAGUAGUCCUGGCCGUAAACAAUGGAUACUAGAUGUUGAACAGAUCGACCUGUGCAGUAUUAAAGCUAACGCGUUAAGUAUCCCGCCUGGGAAGUAUGCUCGCAAGA
rnacentral:rRNA from 1 species